rnacentral:rRNA from 1 species
ACUUUUUGUAGAACGGGCCAACGAGUUACGUUAAGUAGCCAGGUUAAGCACUUAAGGUGCGGAGCCGUAGCGAAAGCGAGUUUUAACUGAGCGUUCAGUUACUUGACGUAGACCCGAAACCGGGCGACCUACCCAUGAGCAGGAUGAAGCGAAAGUAAAAUUUCGUGGAGGUCCGAACCCACGAGCGUUGAAAAGCUCGGGGAUGACUUGUGGGUAGCGGUGAAAUUCCAAUCGAGCCCGGAGAUAGCUGGUUCU